rnacentral:rRNA from 1 species
CGGCGAGUGAAGAGGGAAUAGUUCAGCAUGGAAAUUGGGACCCUCGGUCUUGAAUUGUAGUCUCGAGAUGCAUUACCAACAGAGGCGCAGGUGUAAGCCUUCUGGAAAGGAGCACCACUUAGGGUGAGAGUCCCGUUUGUCACCUGCAGUCCGCUGUGUAAGGUGUGCCUUCUCUGAGUCACGCUCCUCGGAACUGGAACGCAAAUUGGGUGGUAAAUUUCAUCUCAAACUCAAUAUAGGGUUGAGACCGAUAGCAAACAAGUACCAUGAGGGAAAGGUGAAAAGGACUUUGAAAAGAGAGUUAAAAGUGCCUGAAAUCGCUGAAAAGGAAGCGAAUGGAGUCAGCAAUGCUUGGCGAAAUCUUUGGCGCACUGGCGCGAGUGCUCGCUGCUUCAGCGCAAGUUGAGUGGCAGCUUCGAACGUCGUGUGCGCUGUGCCUUUGGCCUUGCGCGUCAAUGCCAGUCCGCAAACGGUGAAAUCCUUGGGGACAUGUCAACUCCUCGUGAGGUGUGAAUGUGCCCUCUGGAACCCAUUUGCGAACUGAUGGGUGGAUGUCUGGUUGCAGUGCUCUGUCUCACAGGGCUCUCCCUGACAUUCCAACAGCGACCAAAUGAUUCCAUUCGACCCGUCUUGAAACACGGACCAAGGAGUCUAACAUAUGUGCAAGUCCAAGGGUGGUAAACCUUCGGGCGCAAUGAAAGUGACGGCUGGGAUUUUUGCACCAGCAACCGACCAAUCAACUGAGUGAGGUUUGGGUAUGAGCAUAUCUGUUAGGACCCGAAAGAUGGUGAACUAUGCCUGAGAAGGGCAAACUCAGGGGAAACUCUGAUGGAGGCUCGUAGCGGUACUGACGUGCAAAUCGUUCGUCACACUUGGGUAUAGGGGCGAAAGACUAAUCGAACCAUCUAGUAGCUGGUUCCCUCCGAAGUUUCCCUCAGGAUAGCUGGAGUUGAUCAGUUUUAUCAGGUAAAGCGAAUGAUUAGAGGAAUCGGGGGCACGUCGCCCUCGACCUAUUCUCAAACUUUAAAUGGGUAAGAUCCAGUGGUUACUUGCUUGAACUUCUGGGAUAAAUGACAACUCUAAGUGGGCCAUUUUUGGUAAGCAGAACCGGCGAUGAGGGAUGAACCUAACGUUGGGUUAAGGUGCUUAACUGCUCGCUCAUCGGAUACCAUAAAGGGUGUUGGUUCAUUUUAACAGCAGGACGGUGGUCAUGGAAGUCGAAAUCCGCUAAGGAGUGUGUAACAACUCACCUGCCGAAUGGACUAGCCCCGAAAAUGGAUGGCGCUGAAGCGGGCCACCGAUACCCCACCAUUG